ensembl:lncRNA
GUUAUAAAAUGGGAGUUGAAACAAAAGGUAAGCAGUGUCUUUUUUCCUAGGUACAGGAAAUAUUUACUUGGUUUACCAAAGCAACUCCUAUAAACUGUUGGGAAAAAAAUGCCCUUUACCUUAGCAAGCCUAAAGGAAACAAUUUCAUAAACAUAGAUUUAUUUUUUGUUGUUGCUUUGCAGGGUGAAAAACCCAAAAGGAUUAGUCCUCUGUUCAGAAUAUAUGGCUGCUUUUUGCAGGUGUUUGGCUUUGAUAAUGUUUGGGCAGAACACCAAUAAUUUGGUUUAUAGAUUACAGUGUUGCCCAGUUUCCUGCAUGUUAUUGCGAUGUGGAACAAUACCAUUAAACCACCCCACAUCUGCUAUGAACCUUUUCUGGUUUUUUUUCUCUUUUUUUUUUUUUUUUUUUCUUUUUAGACUGUGUGUCUCUUCACAAAACAUUUGUGUGUCUUGGUUCGUUACCUCAGCUAUCUACCCAAGCAGCCGCAGGACAUCUCUUUCAAGACAGCUUAUGGGCACAUCACAUUUCACCUUCCUGAAGGUGAAGAGGACAGGAAGAAGAGGAAACUUAAUUUCAAAGGCAUCAAGGAACUGGCAGAAGCUCAUCAUGCCCAAUAGGAGCCCAGCAGAGGUUUGGCAACACCCAGGUACAAAGCCGUCUUACUGGACCAGGUUAGGUGGAAAACUUUUAAUGAAAUGAAUCUUUAUAAAAAUGUGAGUUGGUUGAAAAUGAAACUUUCCCACAGAGAAACGUUUGGAUACAUUUUUGGACAUUUAAAAUCUGGAAGAAUUUUUCAUUGAUCAAAACUGUCUAUUUUUAUUAUCUUUGUAAAAUUGUCCUGCUUUUCUGGCUUGAAAUUACUUUGCCCUUUUGGAAACCAAAGUAGUUGAAACAUAAAACAUGUAAAUAGUCUCACACAAGAAAUCUUUUAGGAUGUAAUUAAGUACAAUGCCUCUUGGGGGGAAGACUUUAAGUUGAAGAAAUAUCUCAUGAUUUUAAGUUGGGUUUUUUCCAUGGUCUUUUUUCCCCCUCAGAAAUGUGAAUAUUGUUAUGGAGCAGAAAUCUGGUUGCUUCCUGGUGUGUGUUCAGUGAUUUCAUAUCCCUCAAGUGUCUUUUCUGGGGCUUAUAUAAGGGCAUGAUCCUUUUACAGACUGGAAGCCGAGGUGUUGAGCUGCCUGGCUAACCAGAUUGGUGGCAAAACUAUUGUCCUUGAACCCCAUUUUUAAAGGCAAAUCUUGGCCAAUGCUUCCCAGGUGAUGUGCAAGACCUGUCCUCCUCCCUGCUUUAUAAAUGCACUGCCAUCAGUUACUGAAGUGGCAGCACUUCCUCCAGGUUUAUGUUUUCUCUGUGUAACAGAGGGUUAAUUUAAAUAAACGCCUUAUUUACAUUCACAACUGUAAAAAAAAUUGCCUAACAAGACCCUAGGUGCCCCAGUGUGCCACUUGGUGAAAUCACAGUAACAUUGAAAUCAUUAUUCUGACAGGAACCCAGCCAGCCAGACGCCUACAGAAGCGCUUUUCCUCUCCUUCGCUCUGGGAAGCACGGCCUCUCCAGAAAGCUCUCCAGCUCCAUCCAUUCAUUUAUUUAUUUGUUGCAUCGCCAGGUCACUAAAUUCUGGUUUCUGCGGCCCAGGGCGGGGGGAGCGAUCUGGCCCUGCCAGCUGCCCCCUCCUGCGGAGCCAGCGGCGGGGGGAGCAGCUGCAGCUGG